CGAAAGGAGGAAGGAGGGGAAGGAGGAGAGAAAGAGGGCGCUCCAGAAGGAGUCCUUCGCGUGCGGACGGCAGGAGGAUUAAAAGGAGGGACGAGGGAGAACCGGAGAGGAAAGGAGAGGGCAGACCUGGGAAGGCAGGUCCCGCCGCGACCAGUUACAUGGAAAACUUCUUUGUUGAACACCAUGUACCAAAGUACAGAGUGAGCUUUGGCUUGUCCUUUGGGGUGUCAUUCCAGGCAAGUUUCAUCACCACCCUCUCCAAGUGAGUCUGGAACUCUGGUCCUCUCUCUUCCCCUUUGCAGACGUCAAGCAUGACAAGCCCUGGAAAGUCUAUCCAGGUUGUAAGGAUGACUGCUAUGGUUCAUUUGGACAGAGUACCCUGAAUGGAGCACUUUAAGACUUGCAUCAUUUAAGCCUCACAGAGGCCUUGUGAGGGCUGAGAAUGUGGUACAAUGGUAAAGUACCCUUGGGUCAAAUCCCCAGUAACAAAAAGAAAAAUAAAGUGAAGGACAACAGAAGCACUUCAAUUGAUUAUGCAUUAUUUAACCUUGAGGUUAUGGUUUAGAUGUGGUGUCUCCCAAAAGCUCACAUGUAAGACAAUGCAAGAAGGUUCCAUGGAAAAAUGAUUGGGUUGUAAGAGUCUUAACCCAAUCAGUGAAUCAAUCCCCUGAUAAGGAUUAACUGAGUGGUAACUGAAGUAGUAGGGUGUGGCAGGAGGCCUUGGGAAUUGGGGCAUGGCUUGGGGGUAUAUAUUUGUAUCUAGCAAGUGGAGACCUCUCUCUGAUCAUCAUGUGUGCUGCUUCCCUCCACCACACUCUUCUACCAUGAUGUUUUGCCUCACCUCGAGCCCUAAGGAAUGGAGUCUGCUGUCUAUGGAUUGAAACCUCUUAAUCAUGAACCCUCAAAUAAACUUUUUUCUCCUCUAGGUUGUUCUGAUCGGAUCCUUAGUCACAGCAGCAAAAUAGCUGACUAAUAUACUUGGUUUUAAAGUACUUGAGUUGAAUACAGUGGAGUAAGUAUGUGCUUUUGCAAAUACAAACUUGAUGAAAACUAAAUCUGAUAAACAGAAAAAGAAGAGAAAAAGAAACACAUAAAAAUGCACACACAAAAACUAAAGCUGGAUAAAACUUUUUUAAUUUUUAAAAAUCAGUCAUUGAGCUAGCAAGAAAGCAAGAAAAUUACAGACCAAAAACAAAACUAAGGUGGAACUCCUAGAUUAUGAAUAAGCUCCUAAAACAUCUUUCAAACAACUGUGUCCUUGAGUGUUCACUUUGACCAGUGUGCAGGAUCUAGAAACAUAAGAUAUAUCCUCAGGCAUCUCUCAGAUCAGAAGAAUAACAACUUUCCCGUAAAACUGGUACUCUAAAGGGCCAAGGUCAAGAUGAAAAUAAAAUUAACUUGCUUUGCUGAAGAGGACCACAGAAAAAUUCACCUCUCUUGAUGCUUAUGUGGGAUGAAGAAUAUAAAAAAGAUAUUCUUUGAUAAUUCAUGACUAUGAAGUGGUCUUCAUAUAAGAUUUUGACCCAAAUUCAUGAUACCAUGGGAUUAUUGAAUAAACUUCAUGAGUCUCA